GGUGAAUCUGACAUUAAUGUCUUCUCUUAUGCUUCUAGCUGGAGCAUAAAGGUUAAUGAUAGAAAGAUGACAAAUAUCAAUGUUAUAAUGUAUUAGUUCUCUAAAUAAUUAGCAAACCCAAUUUGGAUCAUAAUUCUUAAGUUCAUUUAAGGUUUGAUCAUGACCUUUCGGUCUUACUAGUGCCGUUCUCAUUUCUCAGAAUAGUAGCAGUCACCAAGACAAAGAGAGUUUGAAUUCUGGUAAAAACACUCCCAUCUACAGGAAGUCAGAUUUUGCUGAAGACAAGUCAAAAGGAAUAUGGGGAUUAAGCCACACCAUCGUUGAAGUUAACAGAAUCCCACUGGCAUGAAACCCAGACUUUCAGACAUACGGUGCUCAACCAUUGGUCUGGACCGCGGGACCUUCAACCGCUAUGAGGUUUACAGAAAACUCAGCAGAAAUGAUGAAAUACCCACUCUAAAACAAGAACAAACAAAAUGAAUAAGUCACAAAUCUGCCUUUGAAAAGUUGACAAUGAAAGAACUAAAAACCUCCACAAAUAAUUUCAAUAUAACAUACUUAAAAACCUAUUUCAACUUUUACAAACAUCAUCUUUGCCU
rnacentral:lncRNA from 1 species